GAUGAACGCUAGCGGGAGGCCUAACACAUGCAAGCCGAGCGGUAGAGUUUCUUCGGAAACUUGAGAGCGGCGCACGGGUGCGUAACACGUGUGCAACCUACCUUUAUCUGGGGGAUAGCCUUUCGAAAGGAAGAUUAAUACCCCAUAAUAUAAUGAUUGGCAUCAAUUAUUAUUGAAAACUCCGGUGGAUAGAGAUGGGCACGCGCAAGAUUAGAUAGUUGGUGAGGUAACGGCUCACCAAGUCAAUGAUCUUUAGGGGUCCUGAGAGGGAGAUCCCCCACACUGGUACUGAGACACGGACCAGACUCCUACGGGAGGCAGCAGUGAGGAAUAUUGGACAAUGGGUGAGAGCCUGAUCCAGCCAUCCCGCGUGAAGGAUGACGGUCCUAUGGAUGGUAAACUUCUUUUGUACAGGGAUAAACCUACCCUCGGGAGGGUAGCUGAAGGUACUGUACGAAUAAGCACCGGCUAACUCCGUG
rnacentral:rRNA from 1 species